rnacentral:lncRNA from 1 species
CGCGCCCGCGCAGACCGACAGCACCGAGGGAGGCAGCUUCUGCUUACAGGAAAAUAGCAGCUACCUUGUCACCAAAAAUAAUAAUGAUGGGCACCCUCAUAAGUGACAGUCUCUGAGGUGAACAUGCUACAUGCAGCGUCUCAUCACCUACGAAGCAGGAAUCUAGACGCUGAGGGACACACAGCCCGAAAUCCAAUAAGUCCUCAGACACCAGCACCCACAUCCCUCCAACCUCGCCUCUAACCCUUAUGCCUUCCACACCAUGAGGCUCUCAACCUCUCCUUCACACUGUUCACUCCUCAGUCUGACUGCGGCCUCAACAAUCUACGAAAAGUUAUCUUUUCUCGUCAUCUUCCCAGUCCCCACUUUUGCUCAGCCCUCAACUGAUCCCACUCGAUACCUGAGGAGAACAGGCAGAUGACAGCCACUUGAGCUCCAUCGGGAGACUGUUUCUAACCCUGUUUCUGAACCAGGAACUCGGGUUCCUGCCUCCUACCGAGACACUGUGGCACUCUCUAAAAUGUGGAGUAGCUGUAAUAAAUCUACUCCUGUAUUAUGCUUUACAGUGCAGGUCUUAGUUUUUCUUUUUUCUCAUUUCUUUUGAAAUGGCAUCUCGAACAAAGUCCACCAAUCCCUUUACAAAAGAAUGAACUGCUCCUCUGUGUGUACUUCAUAGAAGGUGGAAUCGGACAGAAGCAGGUUAGUGACAGUUAUUCCUGAAAUACAGGAGCAGAGUACAGUCUGUUGUGGUUUCCCGGAUUCCGCGCCUAGCUCAGCCAAUUAAGCAUGAGACAUAGGCCAUUGAGCCACUUAGUAGUUAUGCGAGUGGAUAGAUUGGUAUGUAGAGGGAAAGAGGUCUGCUGUAAAGAACAACACUUGUUUGUCUGUGGGGAAAGAAAAGCAGAAUACUUGAGAUGAAAGUUGGCAUACAAAUAGGAUACUAUCGCCAGUAGUUAUAUUACAAACAUUAUCGGCCUUUCUAGUGUGAAUGAACAUUAGACACAUUAUUGUCAUUCCUAGUUUAAAGUUAAGGUUGCGUGGUUGGAUUUUUCCACUAUCUUUUUCUAAUUUUUCUACCAUUUGGAGACCGUAGGCAUUUGGGCCUGUCACCCCUUGGAUGGGUUCCUAGUUUGUUUACAUUUUCCUGAACCCUCCUGAGCGCCCGUUCUUGGUCUAAUCCCCAGUCGUGAUGAUUCCACACUUCCUCAGCCGCAUGUUGUCUUGCCUCAUUCAUGAGCUGGUCAGCGUUUCGUCUCUUUAACUGACAUGUUCCCCAGUGCUGUUUGAACUGUUGAGUUUCCGUUGCUGGCUGAGUGCGUUUUGUCCUUCACGUAACCUUCGCUGGUAAAAAUAAGCCCAUGUGAUGUCCACCAGUGGAUGAAUGCUGGACCGAGAGCCCUAGCUUCUGGAUCCAGGUCUAGGCCCUUCAUCUGCUGCUCUGUGGCCCAGGGCAGGUUUGCUUGACCUCUGCCUCAGUUCUCGACUCUAAAGGACAUACUGACCUACCUCACAGGGGUGUUGUGAGGAUUAAUAAAUGUUGGUACUCUGCUUUGGAAA